rnacentral:lncRNA from 1 species
UAUAUAUUCCACACUGUAUUUACACUUUACUGUGUGCUAUGAACGAGACUAUCAAAAAACGAUUUUUUAUUUUUAUUCAAUUAUUUAUUUAUCUUUUUAUUUUACCUACUUAUUUAUCUUUAUUUUUUUAUUUUUUUUGGUUUCUGUUUAAUUUAUGCCUUACCUAUUAUUAUUAUUAUUAUUAUUAUUAUUAUUAUUAUUAUUAUUAUUANNNNNNNNNNAUUAUUAUUAUUAUUAUUAUUAUUAUUAUUAUUAUUAUUAUUAUUAUCUUUUCAUAAACUUGUGUGCAUACAGUUUUUAAAAGGAAGCAAUUUUCACAUGUUUAUUAAAAUUUUUAAAGAUAGUUCAUUUUUUUUUUCUUCCUUUUUUUAACAUUAUAAUUCAAAAAAAGUUAAAGUAAAAUAAAUAACCAAAUAUAUAAAUAAUUAAUGAAAUAUAUGUAUAAGUUACUUUAAUAUAAACUUUUUUAUAUCUGCAACAUAACAUACCCUUUUUAAGAAAUUGUAAAAACACACAUUUCAAAUGAUAAAUGCACGUUAUAUAUUUGUAACCAAAUAACAUGUGUGAUUUAACAAAUUUUUAUUUUUUAAGAAUCGACAAAACGAAAAAAAGAAAAUUUUUUUUAAUUGCUCACAACGAAAUGGGAGGGUGUUUUAAAAGUUAAAAAAAAAUAAUUAACAAAUCAUUAACAAAUCAUUAACAAAUCAUUAAUAAACGAAUGGACAAACAAAUGAACAAACAAAUGAAUGAACAAACAAAUGAAUGAACAAAUGAAUGAACAAGCAAACAAAAAAACAAACGAAUGAAUGAAUAAUUUGCAUUAAAAUGCGACAUUGAAUUUUAUAUAAUUUUUUUUUCGAUGUUAUUUAUUUAUGCUUUAUCCUUAUAAUUGUAUUUUUGUUACUAAAUAUUUUUAUUAUUUUUAUUAUUUGUAUAAAAAAAAUCAAAAUGAAUUGUUCAAUCACAAUAUUUUAAAAAAAUGUUCAAUUUUAAUAAAUGUUUAUAACUACCUUUAACCAUCAUAAAAAAUAUAAAAAAUAUAUACCUUUUUUUUUUUUUUUUUUUUACUUUUUCAUCUUAAUUAUUAUUAUAAUUGCCAUAAUAUAUAUAUAUAUAUAUAUAUACCUUUUAUCUUUCCAAAUAAUCUCCGAACGUAUUAAACUUUCUUUGAAAAAAAUUAAAAAGGAAAAAAAGCUCUUUUUUCUAUUGAUAAAAAAAAAAAAAAAAAAAAAAAAAAAAAAAAAAAAAAAAAAAAAAAAAAAAAAAAAAAUUAAAAAAAAAUAAAAAAAAAAAAUAAAUAAAAAAAAAAAAUAAAAUAAAAUAAAAUA